UACGAAGGGAACUAGCGUUGUUCGGAAUCACUGGGCGUAAAGCGGGCGCAGGCGGACUAUCAAGUCAGAGGUGAAAUCCCAAGGCUUAACCUUGGAAUUGCCUUUGAAACUGAUAGUCUGGAGUGUGUGAGGGGGUAGCGGAAUUCCGAAUGUAGAGGUGAAAUUCGUAGAUAUUGGGAAGAACACCGGUGGCGAAGGCGGCGCUCUGGACCGAGACUGACGCUGAGGCGCGAAAGCGUGGGGAGCAAACAGG
rnacentral:rRNA from 1 species